rnacentral:rRNA from 1 species
ACUGACGCUGAGGAGCGAAAGCGUGGGGAGCGAACAGGAUUAGAUACCCUGGUAGUCCACGCCGUAAACGGUGGAUGCUGGAUGUGGGGCCCGUUCCACGGGUUCCGUGUCGGAGCUAACGCGUUAAGCAUCCCGCCUGGGGAGUACGGCCGCAAGGCUAAAACUCAAAGAAAUUGACGGGGGCCCGCACAAGCGGCGGAGCAUGCGGAUUAAUUCGAUGCAACGCGAAGAACCUUACCUGGGCUUGACAUGUUCCCGACGACCCCAGAGAUGGGGUUUCCCUUCGGGGCGGGUUCACAGGUGGUGCAUGGUCGUCGUCAGCUCGUGUCGUGAGAUGUUGGGUUAAGUCCCGCAACGAGCGCAACCCUCGCCCCGUGUUGCCAGCGGAUUGUGCCGGGAACUCACGGGGGACCGCCGGGGUUAACUCGGAGGAAGGUGGGGAUGACGUCAGAUCAUCAUGCCCCUUACGUCCAGGGCUUCACGCAUGCUACAAUGGCCGGUACAACGGGAUGCGACAGCGCGAGCUGGAGCGGAUCCCUGAAAACCGGUCUCAGUUCGGAUCGCAGUCUGCAACUCGACUGCGUGAAGGCGGAGUCGCUAGUAAUCGCGAAUCAGCAACGUCGCGGUGAAUGCGUUCCCGGGCCUUGUACACACCGCCCGUCAAGUCAUGAAAGUGGGCAGCACCCGAAGCCGGUGGUCUAAC